rnacentral:rRNA from 1 species
ACAGAGGGUGCGAGCGUUGUCCGGAAUCACUGGGCGUAAAGGGCGCGUAGGUGGCGGCGUCAGCGUGCGGUGAAAGCUCGAGGCUCAACCUCGAGUCGGCCGUGCGAACUGCGUCGCUCGAGCAGAGUAGAGGCAGGUGGAAUUCCUGGUGUAGCGGUGAAAUGCGCAGAUAUCAGGAAGAACACCCGUGGCUAAGGCGGCUCUCUAGUACGGUACUGACGCUGAGACGCGAAAGCGUGGGGAGCGAACAGGA